UCAUUCCUUAACUCUUCGUCACAGCAGUGGUAUCGCACUUCACGCAACAUCUAAUUACUAAUUUGUACUGUAUGAUCUAUGGCAACUUGCUCCAUUUUAUUCAGAUUUUUCUAGUUUUCUGUUUUUACUUUGUACAUCGAGCAUUGCUUAUUUCCUUUUAAAAAAUGUACAGAACUCUGAAAUGUAGAAAUGAAGUGAUGUUGACAUACCACUUUUAAAGAAAAAAAAAAUCAUUAUCUGAAUCAAUCCAGGGUGUACUUCAUUUCAGUAUCUUCAUUUUAGUCUCCAAAAUUCAUUAAGCAGAUAUAUUGUUCCUGGGAUUUAACAGAAUCAUCGUGGUUCUUUUCUCAAAACGUUCAUGGCGGGAUUUAAACAUGUAGCAGUGGAGAUCAUUCUCAGCCCUUUUAAUUCAAGCAAAUUGAAACUUUCUAAAUUUGCUGGGCACUCAGAGGUGUGGCCAUUACUCUGCAGGGGACAUACUGAGGGCCACAGCAAUUCAGUUAACAACUGGCCCAUUCAGAGAUUCAGGAACUAGAUGAGGAAGAGAUUUUUCUGGGGGAAAAGUCAGGGUGGAGCGUGGAGGGCUGUGACGCAGAGCUCUUGCCCUACAGUGGAGGCAGUUAGUAACACCCCACUCCCUCGCGUGCCUCAGCUCUCCCAGCCCACACUGCAUGGAUCAAAGCCACGACCCAGCCAGCUUUGCCUGUAUCCACCGCCAGAGUGGAAGGUGCCCACAGCGCCACAGCCCUCCACUGGUGCAGGCUGGCGAAGCCAUUUCUCCACUUCCGGGAGACCUGUCCUAAGAUCCCCGUGAGACUUUACAAAGCACAGUAAGACAACAUAUCUCAAAACCAUCUGGGUUAAGCUGAGAAACAGACCGAAGAAUAAAGCCAGCAUAAGAAAAAAGGAUCCAAAAUGAAGCUGAGUUUUUUUUUUUUUUUUAUUGAGUUUAUUGGUACAUUUAGGGAUAC
rnacentral:lncRNA from 1 species